rnacentral:rRNA from 1 species
UACGAAGGGGGCUAGCGUUGCUCGGAUUGACUGGGCGGAAAGGGCGCGUAGGCGGUUUGUACAGUCAGACGUGAAAUUCCUGGGCUCAACCUGGGGGCUGCGUUUGAUACGUGCGGACUUGAGUUCGGAAGAGGGUCGUGGAAUUCCCAGUGUAGAGGUGAAAUUCGUAGAUAUUGGGAAGAACACCGGUGGCGAAGGCGGCGACCUGGUCCGAUACUGACGCUGAGGCGCGAAAGCGUGGGGAGCAAACAGG